GUGCUCACUUCAGCAGCAGCAGCACAUAUACUAAAAUUGGAAAGAUACAGAGACGAUUAGCAUGGCCCCUGUGCAAGGAUGACAUGCAAAUUCGUGAAUGGUUCCAUAUUUGU
rnacentral:snRNA from 1 species